UUCUCUCUACAGAUGUUUGGCUCUGGAAAUGUUUCAUACUUUCAGUUGCGCAUAGUUUAACAUGUAUUUAAACUGAGUAUUUGAGAUUUUUUUUAUAUUGAUAUGUGAUAUCUGACGGCGAGAAUGUAACCAAUGGAUGGAUUUUGCUGAUAUAUCGAAUUGAUAGUUCACUUUGUCAGUUUGUCUUUAUCGCUCAAAUUUCAUUAAAAAAAAAAAAAAGGCAACAUAGAAAAUAAGCAUAGGAGUUUAUUGGCUGAUAUUAAAGCAAGUUUCUGUGUUUCGAUUAAUGGAUGAAUUUAACCACUGUUUGUGAGUACUGGUACUGCUUCUUACUGACAGGUUACUGUUAAAAUCACUUAAGAAAAUGAUGAUUGGAUAAAGUGCUAUCCUAUAAUGCUUGGCCAUUUGUAAAUUGUGUUUUUUUUACCCUCUUAU